rnacentral:rRNA from 1 species
GACGUAGGCGGCCAACUAAGUCCGACGUGAAAUCCCAAGGCUUAACCUUGGAACUGCGUCGGAUACUGGAUGGCUUGAAUUCGGGAGAGGGAUGCAGAAUUCCAGGUGUAGCGGUGAAAUGCGUAGAUAUCUGGAGGAAUACCGGUGGCGAAGGCGGCAUCCUGGACCGACAUUGACGCUGAAGGCCGAAAGCUAGGGGAGCAAACG